rnacentral:rRNA from 1 species
UCCGUAGGUGAACCUGCGGAAGGAUCAUUACCCAAAAGGAUACCCUCGUGGUAUACCCCACCCGUGUCUACCUACUCUUGUUGCUUUGGCAGGCCGUGGUCUUCCACUGUGGGCUCUGCCUGCAUGUGCCUGCCAGAGGACCAAACUCUGAAUUUUAGUGAUGUCUGAGUACUAUAUAAUAGUUAAAACUUUCAACAACGGAUCUCUUGGUUCUGGCAUCGAUGAAGAACGCAGCGAAAUGCGAUAAGUAAUGUGAAUUGCAGAAUUCAGUGAAUCAUCGAAUCUUUGAACGCACAUUGCGCCCUGUGGUAUUCCGCAGGGCAUGCCUGUUCGAGCGUCAUUACAACCAAAAUUAAGCCUAGCUUAGUGUUGGGGUUCGCAGUUCUGCGGCCCUUAAUAUCAGUGGCGGUGCCUGUAGGCUCUGAGCGUAGUAAUUCUUCUCGCUAUAGAGCCCUAUAAGUAUCUUGCCAGAACCCCCAUAUUUUUUCAGGUUGACCUCGGAUCAGGUAGGGAUACCCGCUGAACUUAAGCAUAUC